rnacentral:rRNA from 1 species
UACGAAGGGGGCUAGCGUUGCUCGGAAUCACUGGGCGUAAAGCGCACGUAGGCGGAUUGUUAAGUCAGGGGUGAAAUCCCGGAGCUCAACUCCGGAACUGUCUUUGAUACUGGCGAUCUUGAGUCCGGGAGAGGUGAGUGGAACUGCGAGUGUAGAGGUGAAAUUCGUAGAUAUUCGCAAGAACACCAGUGGCGAAGGCGGCUCACUGGCCCGGUACUGACGCUGAGGUGCGAAAGCGUGGGGAGCAAACAGG